CAGCCGCCGCGGUAAUACAGAGGGUGCAAGCGUUAAUCGGAGUUACUGGGCGUAAAGGGCGCGUAGGCGGUUAUAUAGGUGAGAUGUGAAAUCCCUGGGCUUAACCUAGGAACUGCAUCUUAUACUGUAUGGCUAGAGUAUUGUAGAGGGUAGUGGAAUUUCCGGUGUAGCGGUGAAAUGCGUAGAGAUCGGAAGGAACACCAGUGGCGAAGGCGGCUACCUGGACAAAUACUGACGCUGAGGCGCGAAAGCGUGGGGAGCAAACAGGAUUAGAUACCCCUGUAGUCCCUGUCUCUUAUAC
rnacentral:rRNA from 1 species